rnacentral:rRNA from 1 species
UACGUAGGGUGCAAGCGUUGUCCGGAAUUAUUGGGCGUAAAGAGCUCGUAGGCGGUCUGUCGCGUCGGCUGUGAAAACCCGGGGCUCAACCCCGGGCCUGCAGUCGAUACGGGCAGACUAGAGUUCGGCAGGGGAGACUGGAAUUCCUGGUGUAGCGGUGAAAUGCGCAGAUAUCAGGAGGAACACCGGUGGCGAAGGCGGGUCUCUGGGCCGAUACUGACGCUGAGGAGCGAAAGCGUGGGGAGCGAACAGG